rnacentral:lncRNA from 1 species
UGGGAGCCCCAUUUGGUGGAAAAAAAAAAAAAGCCUCUGAUCACAGCAUCUGAUUGUGCUGGGUAAUGACAAUAUCCUAUGCUUCAGGGAACUCCCUCCUUCCUAAAUCUCUGCAAAAUGACUCAAGGACUGUACUGCAAUCAGCUGGGGAUUGCUGCCAUCUGAUAGCUCUGGAGCAUCUGCCCUGAUUGUCUAUAGCACCCUUGAUCUCUGCAAGUAAGCAUAGAAGGGGAGUAAUAGAUCAAGCUGAGCAGAAUUAUCUUUUUGCAAUGACAGGUAAAACCCAAAUGUGAAGAAUAGUAGUGAAGAUUUUCCUGGGUUCUUCUUUCCAGUGCUAUUACAGAUAGCAGGUACAUUUGCAGAUCUGGAGACAUCUAGAAGGAAAGAUCUGGUACCCAUGCCUGCCCACCUCCCUUCCCUCCCUGAUGAGUCCAUCCCUGUGACCUUCCCCAGCUUGACUCUGCUGGCCACGUCCAGCAUAAGGAGCUUAGAGGAUCCACUCAGAAGUAAUCUCAGAGGGACCAGAAAAGAAGAUUAAACAGCUUUCAAGCUUCAGAAAAGUGUCUGGUGUGGUGGGCUCAGGCUCUGGGGGAUGUAGGUAAUAAACUAUGUGGAUAAUUUUUGAAUUGAAGUAUU